rnacentral:rRNA from 1 species
GGACUACCAGGGUUUCUAAUCCUGUUUGCUCCCCACGCUUUCGUGUAUCAGCGUCAGAUGUGGACCAAGAAGCUGCCUUCGCCAUCGGUGUUCCUCUCGAUAUCUACGCAUUUUACCGCUACUCCGAGAAUUCCACUUCUCUCUUCCAAUCUCUAUCAAAUCAGUUUCCAUCGCACUUUCCCGGUUAGGCCGAGAUCUUUAACAAUAGACUUGAUUUGCCGCCUACACACCCUUUACGCCCAGUAAAUCCGAAUAACGCUUGCACCACUCGUAUUACCGCGGCUGCUGGCAC